AGACUCCUACGGGAGGCAGCAGUGGGGAAUUUUCCGCAGUGGGCGAAAGCCUGACGGAGCAAGACCGCGUGAGGGAGGAAGGCUCUUGGGUUGUAAACCUCUUUUCUCAGGGAAGAAGCUCUGACGGUACCUGAGGAAUCAGCCUCGGCUAACUCCGUGCCAGCAGCCGCGGUAAUACGGAGGAGGCAAGCGUUAUCCGGAAUUAUUGGGCGUAAAGCGUCCGCAGGUGGCGAUUCAAGUCUGCUGUCAAAGCACGGGGCUUAACUCCGUUAAGGCAGUGGAAACUGAAUAGCUAGAGUGCCGUAGGGGUAGAGGGAAUUCCCGGUGUAGCGGUGAAAUGCGUAGAGAUCGGGAAGAACAUCGGUGGCGAAAGCGCUCUACUGGACGGCAACUGACACUCAGGGACGAAAGCUAGGGGAGCGAAUGGGAUUAGAUACCCCAGUAGUCCUAGCUGUAAACGAUGGAUACUAGGUGUAGCUUGUAUCGACCCGAGCUGUGCCGAAGCUAACGCGUUAAGUAUCCCGCCUGGGGAGUACGCACGCAAGUGUGAAACUCAAAGGAAUUGACGGGGGCCCGCACAAGCGGUGGAGUAUGUGGUUUAAUUCGAUGCAACGCGAAGAACCUUACCAGGGCUUGACAUGUCCGGAAUCCCGGUGAAAGCUGGGAGUGCCUUCGGGAGCCGGAACACAGGUGGUGCAUGGCUGUCGUCAGCUCGUGUCGUGAGAUGUUGGGUUAAGUCCCGCAACGAGCGCAACCCUCGUCUUUAGUUGCCAGCAUUAAGUUGGGCACUCUAGAGAGACUGCCGGUGACAAACCGGAGGAAGGUGGGGAUGACGUCAAGUCAGCAUGCCCCUUACGCUCUGGGCGACACACGUACUACAAUGGUCGGGACAGAGGGCAGCGAACCUGCGAAGGCAAGCUAAUCCCAGCAAACUCGGCCUCAGUUCAGAUCGCAGGCUGCAACUCGCCUGCGUGAAGGAGGAAUCGCUAGUAAUCGCCGGUCAGAAUACGGCGGUGAAUCCGUUCCCGGGCCUUGUACACACCGCCCGUCACACCAUGGAAGCUGGCCACGCCCGAAGUCGUUACCCUAACCUUUCGGGGAAGGG
rnacentral:rRNA from 1 species